UGGGGAAUAUUGCACAAUGGGCGAAAGCCUGAUGCAGCGACGCCGCGUGGAGGAUGAAGGCCUUCGGGUCGUAAACUCCUGUCUGGGGGGAUGAAUUUUGACAGUACCCCCGGAGGAAGCCCCGGCUAACUACGUGCCAGCAGCCGCGGUAAUACGUAGGGGGCGAGCGUUGUCCGGAAUUACUGGGCGUAAAGCGCGCGCAGGUGGCUUGUUAAGUCAGGUGUCAAAAUGCGGAGCUCAACUCCGCAGCGCACUUGAAACUGGCAGGCUUGAGUGCAGGAGAGGAAAGUGGAAUUCCUAGUGUAGCGGUGAAAUGCGUAGAUAUUAGGAGGAACACCAGUGGCGAAGGCGACUUUCUGGACUGCAACUGACACUGAGGCGCGAAAGCUAGGGGAGCAAACAG
rnacentral:rRNA from 1 species